AUAGUACCUGGCAGAGGAGGCACCUUGUUCAUGAAGGAGGUUUUCCCAGGUUGAGGCUCAUCCACUGCACUUCGUGUGUGCUGACCCCUGCGAUUUCUCCAAAUGCGGGAAACUCGAAAGCAUAGCUGCUUUUAUGUUUUUAAUUUUUGUAUAUUGAG